rnacentral:lncRNA from 1 species
UCACAUAUAAAACCCUAGAUCCAAAAUGUGGCUAAAAUUGAGCAAGAAUGAACAAAAAUUGACAAAGAAACAUAAACCAACCUUUCUUAUCCACCUUCUUCCAAGAAAUGAAGACCAAAACCUCCCCCCUUAUAUUUUUGUGAAAUCUGGACCUCCAAAAUCGCCUCCAAUGGAAGCUGGCUGCGAGCAUACAGUUCACUGUCGGGGGGAAGAAGAGGGUUAUUUAUAACAUACAGUUCACUGGCGGUUGGCUUGAAAAACCGCCAGUGGAAACCAAUUUCCACUGGCGGUUAUUUUAACACAACCGCCAGUGGAAAUAGGGUAUUUCCACUGGCGGUUGUGUUACACCAACCGCUAGUGGAAAUUGGUUUCCACUGGCGGUUCUGUUAAGAUAACCGCCAGUGGAAAUAGGUUUCCACUGGCGGUUCCCAAGCCGGACCCACCUCGUUUUUUACUGGCGCGCGAUAACCCGAAACCGCCAGUGAUAAUUUAUAGGUGCCGCAGUCUAUGAGCUCUUUUCUACUGUGCCGUCCGGACGUACACAGAGGAGAGUCGCUCCUGUACCAGGUCGCGGUAGAGAGCCCCACCGGCCAUGUCCGAUUAUUUCAGCAAGCACUCGCCCAAGAUAUAUAGUACGAGUAGGGCAUUCCUACAGGACCUCGAACUGAUGUCAAUACUCCAGCGCGCGCCAGCUGCUCGUCAACGCCGGCGGCUUUUUAGAGAGGACCUUCUUCCCGCGCCAGUCUACGGAAGAUGGAACUUCACCGAGCAGGUACUCCCCGACGACCUGAUCAAGAUGUAAUAAUCUACUCUGUCAUUGAGAAUUGAGAUCGACCAUCAGCGUAGUCCAGAAGAGAGAACAAUGCAUUAAACAAUGCUAAUAUUGCCAAUGCAGAGGAAUGGCCGUUCCAGAUCCGUCGAGCCCGUACAAGGUGCUGCUGCUGCUGAUGGAGGACUACCCGUACGCGUCGGACGGGCUGGCCGUCUGGCACGCCAUCGAGCAGUGCGUGACGGAGUACCUGGCCAU